rnacentral:rRNA from 1 species
UACGGAGGGUGCGAGCGUUGUCCGGAAUCACUGGGCGUAAAGGGCGCGUAGGCGGCGCGGGGAGUCAACGGUGAAAGCUCGGCGCUCAACGCCGAGUCGGCCGUCGAUACUCCCGUGCUUGAGCACUGUAGAGGCAGAUGGAAUUCCGGGUGUAGCGGUGGAAUGCGUAGAGAUCCGGAAGAACACCGGUGGCGAAGGCGGUCUGCUGGGCAGUUGCUGACACUGAGGCGCGACAGCGUGGGGAGCAAACAGG